rnacentral:rRNA from 1 species
CCGUGAGGGAAAGGUGAAAAGCACCCCGGAAGGGGAGUGAAAUAGAACCUGAAACCGUGUGCUUACAAGUAGUCAGAGCCCGUUAAUGGGGGAUGGCGUGCCUUUUGUAGAAUGAACCGGCGAGUUACGAUUUGAUGCAAGGUUAAGCAGUAAAUGUGGAGCCGUAGCGAAAGCGAGUCUGAAUAGGGCGUUUAGUAUUUGGUCGUAGACCCGAAACCAGGUGAUCUACCCUUGGUCAGGUUGAAGUUCAGGUAACACUGAAUGGAGGACCGAACCGACUUACGUUGAAAAGUGAGC